rnacentral:lncRNA from 1 species
AUUGUCAUGGCACUAGCUAGAGGUUCAACCAGGUUAGAUUCCUAGCUGCCACUUUGUUUUGGCACUAGAGGUUCAACCAUGCAGAGUUAAUUCCAUUGAGUCUCUACUACAGGAAAAGAAAACUUGCGCAUCAAUGACAGACCAGGCUGACUUCAAUAUGGCAACAAUCAACCUAUAAAUAAGGUUGUGGAAUGGGUGGUAGCGGUGGGGGGCCAGCUACGCAGCAUCACCUAUUCGCGACGGUGCUGGCUAUCAUCCCAGCUCAAAUCAAUUGGGGAUGCAAGAAUGCUGCUUUCAUUACUAAUCAUUUUCAUUGAUUGAAUUUUAUUAAUUUCUACUUCAUUUUCAAUGUCAAAACAGAUACUUUUUAGCAUUUA